rnacentral:rRNA from 1 species
UGGUUCUCUCCCGUUUUGUAUAGCUAAGUUCAGCGGGUAUUCUACGUGAU